rnacentral:rRNA from 1 species
UAGAACGUCGUGAGACAGUUCGGUCCCUAUCUGCCGUGGGCGCUGGAGAACUGAGGGGGGCUGCUCCUAGUACGAGAGGACCGGAGUGGACGCAUCACUGGUGUUCGGGUUGUCAUGCCAAUGGCACUGCCCGGUAGCUAAAUGCGGAAGAGAUAAGUGCUGAAAGCAUCUAAGCACGAAACUUGCCCCGAGAUGAGUUCUCCCUGACUCCUUGAGAGUCCUGAAGGAACGUUGAAGACGACGACGUUGAUAGGCCGGGUGUGUAAGCGCAGCGAUGCGUUGAGCUAACCGGUACUAAUGAACCGUGAGGCUUAACCUUACAACGCCGAAGGUGUUU